GACGAAGGAUGCAAGCGUUAUCCGGAUUCAUUGGGUUUAACGGGCGCGUAGGCGGUCUUGUAAGUCAGUGGUGAAAUCUCGCAGCUUAACUGCGAAACUGCCAUUGAUACUGCUUGACUAGAGUAUAGAUGCUGUGGGCGGAAUAUGACAUGUAGUGGUGAAAUACAUAGAGAUGUCAUAGAACACCGAUUGCGAAGGCAGCUCACAAAACUAUAACUGACGCUGAGGCUCGAAAGUGUGGGGAGCAAACAGG
rnacentral:rRNA from 1 species